GACCGGCAUCGCAGACGGCCGUCGAUGUUUUCCGAUGGUUAUUUCUCGUCGACGGUUCAACGGCUGCUGAUUCACUUCCGGGACUUUCGCCAGGGCUCUCUGCAGUCUUCUUCAGCCUUUUAUCGUAAAAGAGUUAGUAAGGACUUUACUGCUGAAGAAGAUUCUGUUAUUAUUCGCAUGCUUCAGUCCGUUGCUGUUCCUCUCCUUGGAAAUAUGUGUCAUGUAUUUAUGAAUGGUCUUAAUCAUGUUCAGGUCUACGGGUUAGAGAAAUUACAUGAUGCAUUGCUUCAUAGGCCUAGGAACAAACCACUUUUAACGGUGAGCAAUCAUGUUGCUUCUGUGGAUGAUCCAUUUGUUAUUUCUUCACUACUUCCUCAGAGAGUACUUUUGGAUGCUCAGAAUUUAAGAUGGACACUUUGUGCAACUGACCGCUGUUUUCGUAAUCCUGUGACUUCUGCGUUUUUUCGAUCUGUCAAAGUAUUGCCUGUAGCGCGUGGUGAUGGAAUUUAUCAGAAGGGCAUGGAUAUG
rnacentral:misc_RNA from 1 species